GGAUGAUGAUGCAUCAUGUGGAACGGAGCGGAUCAGCAACCCUUGACUUGGGAAGAUGGGGAAGAUGUUGCAAUUAACUUUCUAAUUCAGGUUUAAUUACUACAUGGAAAGAAACGAUCAUACAUAGAGAUAUGAACGCGAAGAUAACGAACGAUCCCACAAAGAAUACAAAAUUAGGGCAAACACGGACCCCUGAACACACCAGAAGUGGGAUCAGACAAACACGGACCCCUGGACACACCAGAAGUGGGAUAAGACAAACACGGACCCCUGGACACACCAGAAGUGGGAUAAGACAAACACGGACCCUUGGACACACCAGAAGUGGGAUAAGACAAACACGGACCCCUGGACACACCAGAAGUGGGAUAAGACAAACACGGACCCCUGGACACACCAGAAGUGGGAUAAGACAAACACGGACCCUUGGACACACCAGAAGUGGGAUAAGACAAACACGGACCCCUGGACACACCAGAAGUGGGAUCAGGUGCUAGGGGAAUGAGUAUCCCUGUUGACUGGUCACACCCGUCUUAUAUUUUGAUCAGGUAAACGGAGUUAACCGUAGUCAAAAUUAGUAUGUAAAGAACGGCCUAUCAAUUGGUACGAAACAAGUCAGAAAGCAUUUGGUUUAUUUCUGAUUUGUAGAUUUUUUUGUAGUAUUCCUUUAUGCACUAUAAAGUACUUUGUUUAUGUUCUUAACAACAUACGGGUUUUUCUUUCUGUGAUUGAAUAAAGAAUUCUGAUCUUUGAAUUUUGUUACAAUAUUUAGAAAACCUUUAAUAAAAGAAAAUUUCGGUCA